rnacentral:lncRNA from 1 species
GGCGACGGAGGCGAUGCCUAGGUGGUCGGGACGGUGGCGGCCGGCGGCGUGCUUCGGGCGUGACGGCGAACACGAGCUUCGGUGCUCCAAAAAUAAAAAGUAACCGCAUCAAAAGCUUCGCAAAGAGGAGGGUGGCAGCGACUGCGGACCUUUUGGUCACCGGUGGCGAGCUCCACACGGCGGCGACAGUGGCUAGGUGGCACUGUGAAAUUAGAGAAGUUCGGUGGUGGUUCGGGCAAGAGAGGAGAGGGAAAAAGAAGAGGAACUCAGGGGCUUCAAUCUGACGCGCUUGGACUCAGAUAUGGGGGAAUGGUGGCGGAGAAAUCGCGUGGAGAUCGUGGGGGCCCGGCUCGGGUUCAUGGCUGGGAAAAUCGGCUCGGGGGUUGGAGGUUAGGGACGGGCCUGACAUGCGGGACCCGCAUGUCAGUGGGUGCGCGGCUCGGCGCGUGCGUGGAGAUGGGACGCACGGCUCGGUAAGUGGGCCGGCCCGGUACGGGUCGGUCCGGUUCCCCCUUUUUUUUAUUUUUCCCUUUUCAAUUUCUAUUUUUUGUUUUUGAAUACAACAUGUGAUUCAAAACCCAAAUCAAAUCAAAUAAAAUGCAACAAAAUUUGUACAAUCGUAUCUUCAUAUGAUUCAACCUCUGGGACAAGAAUUCCCUCAAAAUAAAUAUUUAAAAAUACUUUUGCCUAUAAUCUUGCCUUUAGGGCUUUAUAGCUAGUAAAAUAUUUUAGAGUUUCGAAUCCAAUUCAAAUACCAAGAUAUGGGGUAGCAUUUUCAUUGCAUUAAACCCCUUUUUAUGCCAAAACCCUCAUG